GCUGUUUCUUGGAUGCUGCACUUCACAAAUGUACUAAUUGCCCCCAAAAAAGCAAAGAGUAGAUUUUCCUGCCUAGAUGCAUCACUUGGCAUUGACUACACCAUGGAAAGCAAGAGUCUGUCUAUGUGGGCUGGAUUCCUGAACUACAGCUUAGAAGGGAAGGGCGUAGAAUAUCAUCAUUAACUGGCUCACAAGGAAUAGUCAUCUUGGGCGAACACAUGCUAAUACGUUUCACAGAAUGAGGGGUGACAGCCUAGAAUCCAAAAUGUGAUGUUUGGAACAUUUCUCGCCAAACCUUACUAUGAAAGCCUGCAACCAGUGAGAGGAGAACUGCAAAGACGGCAGCAGAGAAACAGCAAACAGCACAAAAGAGAUAAUUUACCAAGAGACUUUCCCUCCUUUCAGAGGCAACCAAGCCAG
rnacentral:lncRNA from 1 species